AGCUUGCUCUUUCCGGAAUUGAGUGGCAAACGGGUGAGUAACACGUAAACAACCUGCCUUCAGGAUGGGGACAACAGACGGAAACGACUGCUAAUACCGCAUGACACAUUGGGGUCGCAUGGCCUUGAUGUCAAAGAUUUAUUGCUGAAAGAUGGCCUCGCGUCUGAUUAGAUAGUUGGUGAGGUAACGGCCCACCAAGUCGACGAUCAGUAGCCGGACUGAGAGGUUGAACGGCCACAUUGGGACUGAGAUACGGCCCAGACUCC
rnacentral:rRNA from 1 species